rnacentral:misc_RNA from 1 species
AGAAUCUACACAAGCAGAUCCAAUUCUCUUCUCCAUUUCUGCCUCCUUUCUUCCUAAACCCUAGCCCUAGUUCUCUCCCUAUUUGGGAAUUUCAUUUCUUCGCUUUGAAAUGGCCACUGAAGAACCAGUCAUCGUUAACGAGGUUGUUGAAGAGCAAGCCGCUCCUGAAACUGUCAAGGAUGAGGCAAACCCUCCGGCCAAGUCUGGAAAAGCAAAAAAAGAGACCAAGGCGAAGAAGCCUGCUGCACCAAGGAAGAGAAGCGCUACUCCGACUCAUCCUCCUUACUUUGAGAUGAUUAAGGAUGCGAUUGUGACAUUGAAAGAGAGAACUGGAUCCAGCCAGCACGCUAUUACCAAGUUCAUUGAGGAAAAGCAGAAGAGUCUACCAUCUAAUUUCAAAAAAUUGUUGCUUACCCAGUUGAAGAAGUUUGUUGCUUCUGAGAAGCUGGUGAAAGUUAAGAACUCUUACAAGCUUCCAUCAGGUUCUAAGCCUGCUGCUGCUGCUGUCCCGGCGAAGAAGAAGCCUGCUGCAGCAAAGUCAAAGCCUGCUGCGAAACCAAAAGCCGCCGUCAAGCCCAAGGCAAAGCCCGCUGCCAAGG